rnacentral:rRNA from 1 species
CCCGGCGGGCAUCCAUCCAGGGGAGCCGAACGGCAUGGGAAGGCCGGCGGCACAGGGUUAGGGCCCCGUAGGCGCACCCUGGGAUGGAGCCCGGUGGAGGUACCUGAGUAGGGCCGGGCACGUGAAACCCGGUCCGAACCCGGGGGGACCACCCUCCAAGCCUGAAUACUCCCAUGUGACCGAUAGCGCACCAGUACCGUGAGGGAAAGGUGAAAAGCACCCCGGGAGGGGAGUGAAACAGUACCUGAAACCGUGCGCCCGCAAGGCGUCGGAGCGGGCUUCGUCCCGUGACGGCGUGCCUUUUGUAGAAUGAGCCAGCGAGUUGCUGGCACGCGGCGAGGUUAAGCUGGGAAGCGAGCCGGAGCGAAAGCGAGUCCGAAACGGGCGAUUCCAGUCGCGUGCCGCAGACGCGAAGCCGGGUGAGCUAUCCCUGGGCAGGCUGAAGCGGGGGUAAGACCCCGUGGAGGGCCGAACGGACGUACGUUGAAAAGUGCGCCGAUGACCUGGGGAUAGGGGUGAAAGGCCUAUCAAACCCGGAGAUAUCUCGUUCUCCCCGAAAUAGCUUUAGGGCUAGCGUCGAGAGUUAACCGCCGGAGGUAGAGCACCGGAUCGAUGAGGGGGCUUCGCCGCCUACCGAUUCGAACCGAACUCCGAAUGCCGGUCGGUCCAUAUCUCGGCAGUCAGAGCAUGUGGGCUAAGCUGUGUGCUCGAGAGGGAAACAGCCCAGACCGCCCGCUAAGGCCCCCAAUUCUCAGUUAAGUGGCAAAGGAUGUGCGUCCGCGCAGACAACCAGGAGGUUGGCUUAGAAGCAGCCACCCCUUCAAAGAGUGCGUAACAGCUCACUGGUCGAGUGGACAUGCGCCGACAAUACACGGGGCUAAACUGAGAGCCGAAGCGGCGGCAAUGAGAUUUCAUUGGGUAGGGGAGCGUCCCCAGCGGGGCGAAGCCGGAGGGUCACCGACGGUGGACUGCUGGGGAGUGAGAAUGCUGGCAUGAGUAGCGAGAGACGAGAGAGUAACUCGUCCGCCGUAAACCCGAGGUUUCCUGGGCGAGGCUAAUCCUCCCAGGGUCAGUCGGGGGCUAAGCCGAGGGCGGAAGCCGUAGGCGACGCGCAGCAGGUGGACAUUCCUGCACCGGAGAUGCACCGUCACGACCGACGGGGCGACGGAUUGGGGUGGCUCGGCGGGGUUCUGGACGUCCCCGUGAUGGAGCGCGGCCCGGAGACCAGGCAAAUCCGGUCUCCGCGAGGGCGAGGCUCCGGACGAAGCGACUGAGCGAAGCGAGUGAGCCCGUGGUCCCCAGAAAAACCCCUAGGCAGGGGCAUCUCCGCCCGUACCGCAAACCGACACAGGUGGGUGGGUAGAACAUACCGAGGCGAUCGGGUCAACCAUGGUCAAGGAACUCGGCAAAAUGGCCCCGUAACUUCGGGAGAAGGGGCGCCGGCGCGUACGUGGACCCACUUGCUGGGCGAGCGGAGGCCGGCCGCAGUGAAGAGGCCCAAUCGACUGUUUACCAAAAACACAGGACUCUGCAGAAGGCGAGAGCCGACGUAUAGGGUCUGACGCCUGCCCGGUGCCGGAAGGUCACGCGGAGGGGUUAGCGCGAGCGAAGCCCCGAAGCCAAGCCCCGGUAAACGGCGGCCGUAACUAUAACGGUCCUAAGGUAGCGAAAUUCCUUGUCGGGUAAGUUCCGACCUGCACGAAAGGCGCAACGAAUUGGGCGCUGUCUCGACCAUGGACCCGGUGAAAUUCCACUAGUCGUGAAGAUGCGACUUACCCGCGGAAGGACGGAAAGACCCCGUGAACCUUCACUGCAGCUUGGCAUUGGCCGCUGGCCCGUCGCGUAGAGGAUAGGCGGGAGGCUUCGAAGCCCGGGCGCCAGCCCGGGUGGAGCCGACCUUGGAAUACCGCCCUCGGCGCGCCGGCGUCCUAACCCCAUGCCGUCAUCCGGAUGGGGGACCGUGCCAGGUGGGUAGUUUGACUGGGGCGGUCGCCUCCUAAAGGGUAACGGAGGCGCGCGAAGGUCCGCUCGGGACGGUCGGCAACCGUCCUCUCGAGUGCAAGAGCAUAAGCGGGCUUGACUGCGAGGCCUACAAGCCGAGCAGGUGCGAAAGCAGGCUCUAGUGAUCCGGCGGCCCCGCGUGGGUGGGCCGUCGCUCAACGGAUAAAAGGUACUCCGGGGAUAACAGGCUGAUCUUGCCCAAGAGUCCACAUCGACGGCAAGGUUUGGCACCUCGAUGUCGGCUCAUCGCAUCCUGGGGCUGGAGCAGGUCCCAAGGGUACGGCUGUUCGCCGUUUAAAGCGGUACGCGAGCUGGGUUCAGAACGUCGUGAGACAGUUCGGUCCCU